UACGGGGGGAGCAAGCGUUGUUCGGAUUUACUGGGCGUAAAGGGCGCGUAGGCGGCCAGCGCAAGUCAGUUGUGAAAUCUCCGAGCUUAACUCGGAAAGGUCAACUGAUACUGCGGGGCUAGAGUGCAGAAGGGGCAACUGGAAUUCUCGGUGUAGCGGUGAAAUGCGUAGAUAUCGAGAGGAACACCUGCGGCGAAGGCGGGUUGCUGGGCUGACACUGACGCUGAUGCGCGAAAGCUAGGGGAGCGAACGGG
rnacentral:rRNA from 1 species